CUUUAAUUUAAGCAGGACUGAUAAUUCCUUGUCUUGAAGGGACUGAGAGUUUGCAUGGAUGAAGAAGACGAAGAAGAUGAGGAGGAUGAGAGAGGGUUUUGGGGUUGGUGUAGUCAUUUGGAUAUGGAGGUUGAACUGAUUCAUUUGGAUAUGGAUAUGGAGGUUGAACUGUUAUGGGGAUGAUGAUUCAGAACAAAACAAGCUGAUUAGAAAAUGAUGUGAUCCAUUUGGUUUUUAAGGGACUGAGAGUUUGCAUGGAUGAAGAAGACGAAGAAGACGAGGAGGAUGAGAGAGGAUUUUGGGGUUGGUGUAGUCAUUUUGGAUAUGGAGGUUGAACUGUUUCAGAGCGUGUUAGAACCAUGGGGAUGAUGAUUCAGAACAAAACAAGCUGAUUAGAAAAUGAUGCGAUCCAUUUGGUUUUUAAGAGGUGGGAACGCAAACUAGUCGUGGAAAUUUGGGGAUGUUAUAAUAACAUUAUUGGAGGGUCAUCAUGUCAUUUGGCAAUUUAGUGGAAGACCUGGAAAAAUUGGUCAAUGGAAAUACGGGACACCACUUUUAACAACUGGUGGAAGAUCUGUGCCAAUCAGUUAGCUGUUAAAUUUUGUUUUUGCUCGAUCUAUAAGCAAGAAAUAGUAAUAUAGAUCAACUAGUUGACUUGAUCUUAUUGUAUUGCUGCUUUAGAAAGAGGGACCAAAACCACGUGCGCUUUCUAAGUAAUUUCCGGGACAUAGACGAGUGUUAUUCUAUUAAUUUCUGAGUUGGAUGUUUA